rnacentral:rRNA from 1 species
UACGGGGGGGGCAAGCGUUGUUCGGAAUUACUGGGCGUAAAGGGCUCGUAGGCGGCCAACUAAGUCAUACGUGAAAUCCCUCGGCUUAACCGGGGAACUGCGUCUGAUACUGGAUGGCUUGAGUUCGGGAGAGGGGUGCGGAAUUCCAGGUGUAGCGGUGAAAUGCGUAGAUAUCUGGAAGAACACCGGUGGCGAAGGCGGUCAACUGGCCCUGAACUGACGCUCAGGCACGAAAGCGUGGGGAUCAAACAGG